rnacentral:misc_RNA from 1 species
CAUGUGUGUCUGGGACGGUCAGUCUGUUUAUCAUGACCGCCAAGUUAGCUGUUUGGGCUUGUAGACCCCGGUUGACCUUUCAGGCUAUCAUGGUCCACCACAGGGCUCUACUAGCGUGAUAUCAGACCAGAGCAGAUUGGAUGAUGGACCAGUGCCAGGACUUGGACUCUUUCCACCAGUUGCUGCCAUUCAACCAACCGUAUUCACCCACACAAUGCUGUCUCUGUGGGACUGUCUCAUGCUGCUUCUGCGCAGACUUCCAUGCCUGCACAUGUCAUUAGUGCGAUGCUGCGACAAAGUGAGCGGUCAAAGAAGGGUACAAGAACGAGCGACCGCGGUGCGAUGGUCGCUUUUCUCCCACUACAAGUAGCUUGAGACCGCUCCUCAGCAAUGGGUUCUUACCGAGACCCAAAAGCUGGUCCCGUCUACGUACGUAAUCAAUUCCUUAGUCCAACUUCAUGACAUCAUAGUCACUCAUACUUGCACGUCACGUGCAACAGCAAUGUCGAAUCUUCUCCACAGCCACAGCCUCCUUCCCUACAGACACAGCCUCGUCUCUCGUUACUAACGUUGAGGUUCCAGUCUCAGGAACCGUCAUUGUGCAUAAAAAAAAAGGAUUUUUAA